rnacentral:tmRNA from 1 species
GGGGCUGAACUGGUAUCGACCCUGAUCGGACCGGGACAGGAGAAGCGAGCCGAGGACCCCGAGUGGCCUCGUUAAUCCCUCUCGGGAACCUAUAAGUGCCGCUGCGUAAUAGCACGGUCGCCAUCCACUAAAGCGAUGGUCGUCGGCCCGAAGUCCGCCUGCGUCUUCGGGAUCCGGCGUCGCCUAGCAGGCUUGCCGGCCUAAGUUCGCUCGAGGCGAGGGCCGGGACUUCAGCUCGAGCUAGGUAUCGAACGUUGCAGUCUGCGGGCCGUUCGACACCGAAUCUCUACCGCGGACUACGCUCGUAGAAGACCUGUCACGGCGUCGGGGGACCCGGGUUCGAUUCCCGGCAGCUCCACUC